AGUGUCAAGGGAUGGGAAUCGAACCCACGACAUUCCGCUUACCGGGCAGAUGCCAUAACCACUAGGCUAUAGGCUC
rnacentral:tRNA from 1 species